UCUCAGUAGGCCCAAUGGAUCUGAGUAAAGAUUGUGGUGUCCUACUUCAUACUAUUUGGUGACAGCUGAUCUCAUUAACACUGGCCACUCUGUUUUUAUUUACCAGUAUAGAUGUUGGUUGUGAUUAGUAAGUAAGGAAACACCUGUACAAAUAGAACUGUACAAGUUUAUGUAGCCUCCCAGACAGUAUCUGCAAUGUAGCAUGUCUGGAGCAUUUGUGGAACCCAUCUGCCAGGUCCAAGAAGAUGUGCUGGCAUCCAUUGAGGCACAUCAGAGACUGAGGAAGCUGAGCAGGGUCUGGAUCUCAGCAACAUGAGUUGGAACACAAAGAAGGACUGAUUAAAUUAGAACAUUUUAUGGUGGACAGAUGUGCAAAAGUCUUGGCAGUAAGGACUGAUGGACAAGAUGUAUCCUCCAAUUACAUGUUAUCUCUGUAGCCUUUUCCACAAUACUUCUUCACUGGCUGUGAAAACGCAAUACAGGCACUCUGAUGGGGACAGGGUGAUAUAACCUAGAGUGACAGCCAACAGAGUGGCAAUAAUCUACUAAAAUAUUUGAAACUGAAAAGAAAAUUCAUCUCGCUCAGCUAAGCAGCCUGAAGGAUCAAAGGAUGCCAAACAGUCUUGUCUGAAAAACAUAAGUUGUCGUACAGCAAAAUGGUACUUGGACUUGUUAAUAGCUGCUUGGAUUGCUAUCAGCAAUCAUGCUGUAAUGACUGAGGAGGUCAGUGUAACAAUGCUCUAACUUUUUCUAACACUGUGUUAACAGUCAGUCUAAAAUUGAUUAAAAAUUACAUAUAUAU